GACGAACGCUGGCGGCGUGCCUAAUACAUGCAAGUUGAGCGCUGAAGGUUGGUACUUGUACCGACUGGAUGAGCAGCGAACGGGUGAGUAACGCGUGGGGAAUCUGCCUUUGAGCGGGGGACAACAUUUGGAAACGAAUGCUAAUACCGCAUAAAAACUUUAAACACAAGUUUUAAGUUUGAAAGAUGCAAUUGCAUCACUCAAAGAUGAUCCCGCGUUGUAUUAGCUAGUUGGUGAGGUAAAGGCUCACCAAGGCGAUGAUACAUAGCCGACCUGAGAGGGGGAUCGGCCACAUUGGGACUGAGACACGGCCCAAACUCCUACGGGAGGCAGCAGUAGGGAAUCUUCGGCAAAGGACGAAAGGCUGACCGAGCAACGCCGCGUGAGUGAAGAAGGUUUUCGGAUCGUAAAACUCUGUUGGUAGAGAAGAACGUUGGUGAGAGUGGAAAGCUCAUCAAGUGACGGUAACUACCCAGAAAGGGACGGCUAACUACGUG
rnacentral:rRNA from 1 species